CAUAGGUUUAAAGAUGAACUGCUGUGGUCUGCUGAAUGCUGAGAAGGAACCAGUUCCUCUGAAGAGCGUGGAGGUGGAGGUGGAGGUUAGGGACCAUGUGGCUACAGUGGUCUCCACUCUGAACUAUGA